GAUGAACGCUGGCGGCGUGCCUAACACAUGCAAGUCGAACGGAGUCCAGCCUUUAAGACCUUCGGGUCAAAGAGGGGAAGACUGAGUGGCGGACCGGUGAGUAACACGUGGGCAACCUGGCUCAUAGAGGGGGAUAACAGAGAGAAAUUUCUGCUAAUACCGCAUAAGCACACACUGCCGCAUGGCAGAGGGUGAAAAGAGAAUCGCUAUGAGAUGGACCCGCGUCUGAUUAGCCAGUUGGCAGGGUAAGAGCCUACCAAAGCGACGAUCAGUAGCCGAUCUGAGAGGAUGAACGGCCACAUUGGGACUGAGACACGGCCCAAACUCCUACGGGAGGCAGCAGUGGGGGAUAUUGCACAAUGGGGGGAACCCUGAUGCAGCGACGCCGCGUGAGUGAAGAAGUAUUUCGGUAUGUAAAGCUCUAUCAGCAGGGAAGAUAAUGACAGUACCUGAAUAAGAAGCCCCGGCUAACUACGUG
rnacentral:rRNA from 1 species